rnacentral:rRNA from 1 species
GACGAACCGUGCGAACGUUGUUCGGAUUCACUGGGCUUAAAGGGCGCGUAGGCGGACCUGCCAGUCAGGGGUGAAAGCCCCCGGCCCAACCGGGGAAGUGCCUUUGAUACUGCGGGUCUCGAGCGGGAUAGGGGCAGCUGGAACUUCCGGUGGAGCGGUGAAAUGCGUAGAUAUCGGAAGGAACGCCGGUGGCGAAAGCGGCUUCCUGGACCAGCACCGACGUUCAGGCACGAAAGCGUGGGGAGCAAACAGG